CGGUGCAAACUAAUAUAAUCGCUGAGCCAAAGAAAGGUCUGAGGAUGUUUAAGGAAAAGUUUGUUUCGAACAUACGAUUUCAGCAGGUUGGAAAUGAGUUUUGUAUUGAAGGAAAAGUGAAAGCUGAAAUGAAGAAAAACACAGUUUAUGUGGUCACAACAAAAGUGGAUGCUGAAAAUAAGGUUAUCACUUGCAUAUGCUCUUGUCCAGCUGGACCACCCCCAGCCUCAUGUAAGCAUGCUUUUGCACUUUUGCAUGCAUUAGAAGACUACAGCAGGCAAGAGCUAUACUUAGCACCUACAGAAAAAUUGCAAGCUUGGCAUAGGCCUAAGCCUGUGAAAUUAAGUCCAAAAAAAUGCCGAGAAUUGUAUGGUAAGCGUAAGCUCUCCUGCACCGUUGAACCCGUUAAUGUGUCCGCUUUGUUCGAAAAUAAUGAUGGAAAGAGCGCACAGUAUAUGUCUGUUUGGCCCAUGUAUUUGGAUAACUGUAGCAAAUAUAUGCCUCCAUUACCUGCACUGGUACUUUCAGAAUAUCCAUUAAUUGAAGAAAUUCAACGAGUAUCACCUCUGAUGAAAUCUAAAUUAAUAUUCAAAAUUGAAGAAAUGUGGGAACUUGAACUGAGUACAACACAACAACAUGCAUGCACUUUGUGGAGAAAGGAGCGUUUAUUGCGUCUUACAGCUUCUAAGUUUUACGAAAUAGUUCACAGAAGAGCUGAUUUUGUUAAGUAUUGUGAACAGUUGUAUGUGUCCCAGAAUCAAGAACUCAAUUUUGCACCGAUAAAGUAUGGCAGAACGUUCGAAUCUGUUGUGAGAGGCUACGUUCGAACAGCAUACCCGAAACACAUAAUUCGAAAUGUCGGCCUCAUUACAAGCCCAUUUUUUCCACAUCUUGCAGCUUCUCCUGAUGGCCUGAUGCAUGAUGGAAAUGAUACCUUUCUCCUAGAGAUAAAAUGUGCGUACAACAUACUUGGCAAGAGUUUAGAGGAGUUAGCAGAGAACCCCGAUUUCUGUUUGAGUUUUAUUGAAGACAAAUGGACCUUGAAGAAAAAGCAUAAAUAUUAUCUUCAGGUACAGGGACAGUUGGCUAUCAGUAAUCUAAAUGAAUGUGUUUUUGCUUUGUUUUACAAGCAGCCAAAUUAUGUUCAUAUGGAACAUAUAUUAUUUGAUCAUGAACUAUGGAAAACCACUUCAACAAAACUUAAUAAAUUUUACUUUGAUUAUUACAUGCAUUAUGUUGAGUCAAAGUGUAGUUCGUAAGAAGAAAUUUUUGGAGCGAGAGGAGCAAACCUCUAUAAAAAACGUGGGCUCAGCUGGCUCCGGCUGACAGUACCCACAUGUAGGGCCCCUUGCCUAGGGUUACAGGUGAAAAUUUGACAUUUCACUAUUUCAAGCUGCAAACAAUAAUAAUUCAAAUGAAUUUAAAAAAAAAAAAAAACUAUAUUGCAUCAUUUAGAAACUCAAGCAUUAUACAUUUUCCAUGUUCUUGAUCUGCAGAGCUGAAGAGAUCUGCUUCUGUUUUGGUAUAAUUUUUAUCUCGGCAUGAAACUAAAAGCAUGGGUGGAACUCAAAGAUG